rnacentral:lncRNA from 1 species
AUGGUCAUCAUCUCCACCCCUUGGGGUGGGUUUGUGGUCAUCAUCUCCACCCCUUGGGAUGGGUUUGUGGUGAAGAUCUCCACCCCUUGGGAGGGGUUUGUGGUGAAGAUCUCCAUCCCUUGGGAUGGAUUGAUGGUCAUCCAUCACUCAAGAUGGAUUUAUUGUGGUCACAUCCACCACUCAGGAUGGAUUUAUGGCGUUCAUCUCCAUCCCUUGGGAGUAGCUUGUGGUCAUCAUCUCCACCCCUUGGAAUGGAUUGAUGGUCAUCAUCUCCAUCCCUUGGGAGGGGUUUGUGGUCAUCAUCUCCACCCCUUGGGGUGGGUUUGUGGUGAAGAUCUCCAUCCCUUGGGAGGGGUUUGUGGUGAUCAUCUCCAUCACUCAAGAUGGAUUCAUGGUGGUCACGUCCACCACUCAGGAUGGAUUUAUGGGCUCACAUCCAUCACUCAGGAUGGGUUUAUGGCGUUCAUCCCCUGGGAUCGAUUUAUGGUGCUCAUCUCCAUCCCUCAGGGUGGAUUUAUGUCAUCUCCAUCACCUGGGAUGGAUUUAUGGUGCUCAUGUCCAUCCCUCAGGGUGGGUUUAUGUCAUCUCCAUCCCCUGGGAUGGAUUUAUGGUGCUCAUCUCCAUCCCUCAGGGUGGAUUUAUGUCAUCUCCAUCCCUUGGGAUGGUUUAUGGUGCUCAUGUCCAUCUCUCAGAGUGGAUUUAUGUCAUCUCCAUCCCUUGGGAUGGUUUAUGGUGCUCCUUUCCACCACUCAGGACAGAUUGUACCUCAAAAUGCUGUUGAUGACCCGUCCAGAUCCAGCUGCCAUUCCAAACUGGGCCAUCCCUUUCUCCCAGGAACAGGAAUUUCCCAGGACACACCCAUCCUGGCCCGGAGCCAUCCCUGUCCCCUCAGGCAGGAACAUUUCCUCACCUGAGCCUUCAUCACCAGGAAUUCCUCACCUCCCAGGGUGUCACCAGCCAGUCCCGAGGACACCUCACGUCACCAAACGACCUUUGGGACACGGGACAUCCCGCCCAGAAAUAUUUUGGGUGUCACCUUGGUGUGACUCUGCCUCUGCUCAUCCCUGUUUUCAGUUGGAAUUUUUCCAUCUCCCUGGAAAGAAUUGA